GGUCAUUCGGGUUUCUUGCAUUGACCCUACCCAGCUCUUCACAUUACAUAAGCUUGCACAUGGUUAUGAAACCACACAACCCUCAGUGCUGCCAGCACAGCCUGAAGCAGGGAAGAAGCCCUUAUGAUCAUUAUCCGUGCAUUUGCAGGUGAAAUCACUGGGUUUCCAUGUAAAGAUGUAAUGAAAAGCCUCCUGAGCUUUCUGCUUUUCAUCACCCAGCAGGAUGAAGUGGUAGCAGCCUGUCACAGGCCUCCUAUUUUUCUAGAAGGCUUCGGUUUUUCAACCUAACUGAAAUGGAUGAUCCGAGGUCCCCCGUAGGAGCAAGGAGCUGCAUGCUAGCCCCACAGCAACCCCCAGCGGCUUGAGCUCCCCAGUGCAGUACAACCCUACACAUCACAUCCACCUGCGGCCCCAAGCUCGGUGGCCAUUUUCCUGCUGCCACCUGUGCCCAUCAAUGCAAUGCACCUGGAGCACCGGUCGGCCAUCUUGUGUGGCGCAAAUUGGGGCUAGCAGGGAUCAUCUGCUCACCGGUUGUGCACUGCUGGGAAUGCAAAAUGAUGAUAGGUUUCAGCUUUCCCCUUGUAAGCAGCUUCUGCUUAGGUCAAGCGACUGAAUAAAACUGACAGGCUAAGGGAAGAAUAAGCAAUAAAUACGCUGUGCUCACCGACACAAGUCAUCUUGGCCAUGUCCAGGUGAUAACCGUCAAAGCAGUCGCAGGUGUAGCCUUCCUGGACUCUCACACAUCGGCCAUUCUCACAUCCGUUCAGAAUUCCACAUUCUUCUGCUUGUAACUCCUCAAAGCUGUUCAGAAAACCUGAGCAAAGAAAGAAUUACAAACAAGUAAGUUACCUUGCUGCUGAAUGUAUAUGUACACACAAACACACAGUGAGACCAAAACUCUCUCAGAGGUUUACUGGAAUGUGAGUUGACUUUGCAGAAAGCAGGUCAGCUUUAGCAGAGCUACACCAUCUGGAGUUGUAAACGCACUAGGAAAGAGCUCUGAUGUUUCAAGAUGAAAACGCAAGAACUGUGUUAAAAACCUGAGGGUUGGUUGUUGUAUGUUUUGUAAAUGAAACUGCAUGCCUUUGUCUAUUUUUUUAAGGAUAAACCAGUGUUUUCUCAGUUACACAUUUUAUUUUAAUAUUUCAGCAUACCAACGUUUGUGUGAAUAAAGGGAAGCAGCGGUAGUGAAGUCUGGGACAAAAGUUCUUUACAAUGGUGUUCUAGAGAAGUGAGGUGUGCUUAUGGGGGAAAAUACUUAAAAAACUCAAUUGCCUUAAGGAAAGUAAGAAGAAAUCAGAUACUGCUUUACUGUUGUGGGUUUGGUUAAUAACUCUUUGGCUGGUACUUCAGCAAUCAGUGCCAGUACAAAUACUUGUAAUCUACCCAUCGUUCCAUGUCAUAAUUCUCAAUGGUGAGUAGCCAAGGGCUCCCUGUUUUAUUAUUUUUUAGGCAGUUAUGAAUUUAUGUAUAUAGAGGGAUAUGUAUUUAAAAAAAAUAUAUUUGAUAUUUUUACACAUUCAGAGAUUUUCUGUAAGACUGAAUUGCUGCUCUUACUUCUGCAUAAGUUUUUCAACCAGCUUUCCAUUCACUGAGCUGUUUGUAACAGGACUGCAGAUGGCAGCCCGUCACAUCAAAAGGCCUUCUAAGGAAAAAGGCUGGAGCAUGUGAGAGUCUGUUGGCCUACCAGCAUAAUUAAUAUAUAGCAUGGAAGUGGAGGUGAAACUGAGGCCAGAAUGGAACAGAGUAUAAUCCAUCUCCCCAUCUGCCCCAUAACAUCGCAUUAGGGGAGCGAAUGCACAAACCAGCAGUUUAUGUAAAACCCGGUUACCUAUUCAAUGUUACAAAAGUUGUAACAGAUUUGUAAAGCCACCUUGGAAUAUAAAUUUCUCUCUUUCCCGCUGCUUGUUCUCCUGUCUUUUUCUAUACUCUUCUUGGUACUGUCUUGGUUCUUGAGUCUCUCUUCUCUCUACUCUGCCUUGCUCUUUCUACUCUGCCCUUUCUGUACUAUCCUCCAUUUAACUUCUGUAUUGUCAUAUGAGCUCCUGCCCCUCUUUGGCUAUACAUACCACUGCUUUUCUUCUCUGAAUCUGUGAUGAACUACGUUGGACCUAUACCGAGCAGCUGAUUUUGAAGAAUAUACUGAGGUCUGUAAGGAUUUAUUUCCCUCAGGCCUUAACAGAAAGCUGGGCCAGAUCCAUCAACAACCUGGAUGUUCCUGAAGGACAUCUGAAAUACAGUACACAAUCCCUCACACCCUACCUGCAGCCCAUCCCAGCCUGAAGGCUAUAUGCAUGCAUGCUCUCUGAUCAUCCUUUGUUCUGUAGUUUCACUGCAGAGUGAGAACAUGCACGCUCUCCAUUUCUUCCAUAUGAAUUGUGCUGGAAAAUCAUGAUAUACUGGCACGGAGGUAUUUCUUUUCUUUUUUCCUUUUGUGUGUGUCUGUGUGUGUCUUUUCAACUAAAUGUACUCCAAAGAAAUCUGUCCCAUGCUCCAGCGGAAAACUAAUUUGUGAGAAAGAAAACUGGCCCUCAUCUCUACCUUUAGCUGUAAAUCUGUUGGUAAAUAUAAAUUUAGUACAUUUGGCACAGAAUGCUCUACUGUCUUAAAAAUUAAAUUGUACUCUGAGCCCAACUGGACUCUUCACAACACUGGCUCUUGAAGCAGAACACCUGACUGAAAGCUAAUGUCAUAGGAAUAACUAAAAAAUAAAUAGGACACAUUACUCAGAAGCAAAGAGAAGAAUAAAGCCAGCUACAGGGAAAUAAUCCAAGUAACAACUCUCAUCUCGAGCAUUUUACAUAACAGAGAAAUUUGCUUACGGUCUUCGACAAAGUAUGGAUUAGUUUCUGGAGUGUAGUGCUCCUCAAAGUCAACCAAGGCGUCUUGUCCAUAUGGCCGUCGAGAUCCUGGAACAGGAAUGUUGCACAGCUGGGCAUAAUCCUCUGUGGGGAGAAAGAAAAGAGGAUAUAAAACUAAUCAUACUUGUAACACAGGCUGUGUUGCAUUAGUCUCAGUGCAUCGUGGCUCAUAUUAGCUGGAAAUAAACUUAUCUUCCUAGAAACACCAUAAAUCUGCAAUUCCCACAAAUCAUUGUCUCUUCAAGGAGAAUGUCAUUUAGAUGUAAUGAACCAAAUACAGACUAUUAAGUCAUAAUAGGGAUAACUCCAGGGAUAGAUUUCAGUCAGUGACUGUACCAGAAGUUAUGGGUCAUGUUCUUCUGAUCUGCUCUUGCCUUGAGGGGAGGGGUGCUGUGUGUCCCACCACCAGUGCACCCCCUGACCAGAACUGGCUGUCCUUAUGCUCUUUGCUGGUUUAAUGAAGGCUCUUCCAGUCCUUUGUUUAGUAGGAGAAGAUAUCCAAAAGGAAGCAAAAGAAGCUGUAUUUCUGGCAGUGCCAGCCAACCUGCAGAAAUCACAGAAUAAAAGACCCUUCCAAAAUAGCACGCGCUCCUUUGCAAACCAUUCUUCAAACCACAGGCUUAAUUGUUAGUGCUGUUCAAGGUCUGCUUGGCUGCAAACCUGACAGGGCCAGGGGAAAUGUAUGGGAGAAUUAGCUACGCUGAAAUUCUGCCUCUUGAGUGAAAACAUACCAAAGCAGCUCUUCAUUUUAGGUGUCAGAGUCCAUGCCUGAAAUGCUGAUGUAUAGAGUUAGAUUUUAUUCUUAAUUUGAUUUAUUGUGUUCCCUCAGUUUGUCUCCUGUAUUUUUAGUAAAUGGUAAUUUAUUUGAGACUGGAAACUGUUAAAAUCCAGUAAUCCAGGUGCUUCUUUACUCUUGCUACAGACUAUUUAGCAUCUGUUUCUCUGAAGAUUGCCUGGUGUUCUGAGAAUCAGGCAGAGUAAGGACGGGAAUGAAAACCACCAAAAAGAGAGAGAGGAAAAAAAGCCCUAAGUAGAUACAAAAUCCAAGAACUGCAGAUGGUUAUGGAGCCAGAAACCUCACGCUGUGUUGAACUGUCCCAGACAGCAAAUAGUCGGAUAUAUCCAGACUGCCUGCAGACAGCCUAGAGGACUGCCCCUUUUGCUGCUCAGCACUGUCUUUUGGUUUUCUUAGGUACUAUCAUCAUCUCCUUCACAUGGGAUGUUUUCAUGUUAUCCAAAAAGAAUAAGGUGCACAAAAGUCUGCUUGAAUUCUGUGGCCAGCAACUCAGCUCUUGUGAACGUGGAACACUAUAUUGUGUGCAGAGCUUGGCAGUGCAUUUCGCAAAACUGUCACUGGGUUCCCAGCUCAAGUCUGCAGAAUGCAACUUACUUAGAAAUCCUUCUAAACCUCACCACCUUCUGCUCCAAGUGCAAGGU